rnacentral:rRNA from 1 species
UUGAACGCUGGCGGCAGGCCUAACACCUGCAAGUCGCACGGUAGCACAGAGAGCUUGCUCUCGGGUGACGAGUGGCGGACGGGUGAGUAAUGUCUGGGAAACUGCCCGAUGGAGGGGGAUAACUACUGGAAACGGUAGCUAAUACCGCAUAAUGUCGCAAGACCAAAGAGGGGGACCUUCGGGCCUCUUGCCAUCGGAUGUGCCCAGAUGGGAUUAGCUUGUUGGUGAGGUAAUGGCUCACCAAGGCGACGAUCCCUAGCUGGUCUGAGAGGAUGACCAGCCACACUGGAACUGAGACACGGUCCAGACUCCUACGGGAGGCAGCAGUGGGGAAUAUUGCACAAUGGGCGCAAGCCUGAUGCAGCCAUGCCGCGUGUGUGAAGAAGGCCUUCGGGUUGUAAAGCACUUUCAGCGGGGAGGAAGGCGAUACGGUUAAUAACCGUGUUGAUUGACGUUACCCGCAGAAGAAGCACCGGCUAACUCCGUG